GCAAGUCGAACGGCACCCCUCUCCGGAGGGAAGCGAGUGGCGAACGGCUGAGUAACACGUGGAGACCUGCCCCCUCCCCCGGGAUAGCCGCCCGAAAGGACGGGUAAUACCGGAUAGCCGCAUGGCUAAAGCCCCGCGGGAGGGGAUGGCUCCGCGGCCCAUCAGGUAGACGGCGGGGUGACGGCCCACCGUGCCGACAACGGGUAGCCGGGUUGAGAGACCGACCGGCCAGAUUGGGACUGAGACACGGCCCAGACUCCUACGGGAGGCAGCAGUGGGGAAUCUUGCGCAAUGGGGGGAACCCUGACGCAGCGACGCCGCGUGCGGGACGGAGGCCUUCGGGUCGUAAACCGCUUUCAGCAGGGAAGAGCAAGACUGUACCUGCAGAAGAAGCCCCGGCUAACUACGUGCCAGCAGCCGCGGUAAUACGUAGGGGGCGAGCGUUAUCCGGAUUCAUUGGGCGUAAAGCGCGCGUAGGCGGCCCGGCAGGCCGGGGGUCGAAGCGGGGGGCUCAACCCCCCGAAGCCCCCGGAACCUCCGCGGCUUGGGUCCGGUAGGGAGGGUGGAACACCCGGUGUAGCGGUGGAAUGCGCAGAUAUCGGGUGGAACACCGGUGGCGAAGGGCCCUCUGGGCCGAGACCGACGCUGAGGCGCGAAAGCUGGGGGAGCGAACAGGAUUAGAUACCCUGGUAGUCCCAGCCGUAAACGAUGGACGCUAGGUGUGGGGGGACGAUCCCCCCGUGCCGCACCAACGCAUUAAGCGUCCCG
rnacentral:rRNA from 1 species